UACGAAGGGGGCUAGCGUUGUUCGGAAUUACUGGGCGUAAAGCGCGUGUAGGCGGGUCUUUAAGUCCGGGGUGAAAUGCCAAGGCUCAACCUUGGAACUGCCUUUGAUACUGGAGACCUUGAGUCCGGGAGAGGUGAGUGGAAUUGCGAGUGUAGAGGUGAAAUUCGUAGAUAUUCGCAAGAACACCAGUGGCGAAGGCGGCUCACUGGCCCAUAACUGACGCUGAGGCACGAAAGCGUGGGGAGCAAACAGG
rnacentral:rRNA from 1 species